GACGAACGCUGGCGGCGUGCCUAAUACAUGCAAGUUGAGCGCUGAAGGUUGGUACUUGUACCGACUGGAUGAGCAGCGAACGGGUGAGUAACGCGUGGGGAAUCUGCCAUUGAGCGGGGGACAACAUUUGGAAACGAAUGCUAAUACCGCAUAAAAACUUUAAACACAAGGUUUAAGAUUGAAAGAUGCAAUUGCAUCACUCAAAGAUGAUCCCGCGUUGUAUUAGCUAGUUGGUGAGGUAAAGGCUCACCAAGGCGAUGAUACAUAGCCGACCUGCGAGGGUGAUCAGCCACAUUGGGACUGUGACACGGCCCAAACGCCUACGGGCGGCAGCAGUAGGGAAUCUUCGGCAAUGGGCGAAAGUCUGACCGAGCAACGCCGCGUGAGUGAAGAAGGUCUUCGGGUCGUAAAACUCGGUUGGUAGAGAAGAACGUUGGUGCGAGUGGAAAGCUCAUCAAGUGACGGUAACUACCCAGAAAGGGACGGCUAACUACGUG
rnacentral:rRNA from 1 species